CAGACUACCCCACUCAAGAACAGCAGUUGCAUUUUAUUCGUCAUUACCUGGCAGAGGCAAAGAAAGGCAUCCAUGUCCACCAUAGAAUUUGGUUACUUGGACUAUGCCCAGUCUCGGUUCCAGUUCUACUUCCAGCAGAAGGGGCAGCUGACCAGUGUCCACUCCUCAUCCUGACUCCACCCUCCCACUCCUUGGAUUUCUCCUGGAGCCUCCAGGGCAGGACCUUGGAGGGAGGAACAACGAGCAGAAGGCCCUGGCGACUGGGCUGAGCCCCCAAGUGAAACUGAGGUUCAGGAGACCGGCCUGUUCCUGAGUUUGACUCUAAAGCCACCAUCCUCACGAGACUCUGGGGCCCCCCAGGCUCCCAGACCUUUGAGCAACCUUCACCGCACAGAAACCCAGCCGCGCCCUGCAAUUCCCACCGCGGAAGGUGCCGACCAACCCCCAGGAUGGCGGAAGCUCACCAGGCCGUGGCCUUCCAGUUCACGGUGACCCCAGACGGGGUCGACUUCCGGCUCAGUCGGGAGGCCCUGAAACACGUCUACC
rnacentral:lncRNA from 1 species